CAGUCGUUGCACAGGCACUUUGGUGACUCUAGAUAACCUAGGGCCGAUCGCAUGUCCCCGUGACAGCGACGAUACAUUUGGAUGUCUGCCCUAUCAACUUUCGAUGUUACUUUCUGUGCCUACCAUAGUGACCAUGGGUAAUAUGGAAUCAGGGUUUGAUUCCAGAGAGGGAGCCUGAGAAACGGCUACCACAUCAAAGGAAGGCAGCAGGCACGCCAAUUACUCAUUCCCGACACGGGGAGGUAGUGA